rnacentral:rRNA from 1 species
UACGAAGGGGGCUAGCGCUGUUCGGAAUUACUGGGCGUAAAGCGCACGUAGGCUGACAUUUAAGUGAGGGGUGAAAUCCCAAGGCUCAACCUUGGAACUGCCUUUCAUACUGGGUGUCUCGAGUCCGGAAGAGGUGAGUGGAAUUCCUAGUGUAGAGGUGAAAUUCGUAGAUAUUAGGAAGAACACCAGUGGCGAAGGCGGCUCACUGGUCCGGUACUGACGCUGAGGUGCGAAAGCGUGGGGAGCAAACAGG